AGUAUCCGCUGUGCCGGUGGCCGGUGCCGCCACUGCCGCCAGAAAUGAAUGAUGAUACUGGGUGCGUUCGGCAAAGACUGCGUUCCGAUAUUCACUGCCAGUACUGAAAAUCUAUAGUUUACGUCACAUACAUUGGUAUGACAACAUAGCGACUCUUGUCCUGUCUACAAAGAAAAGUAGCGCCAUAAUUGAAUUUGAAAAUAAAAAUGUAGCGCAAGUUCAUAAGAUGCUUGACAAUGAAACAAGAUUACACACACAGACACACACACACACACACACACACACACACAAUUUAAAUUCAAGAUAAAAUUCUUAAAUAAAAUGUUUGUUUCAGGAAACGGCACUGCUAGUAGAGAUUGGAUUAGUGGAAAAUAGCUAAGAUUGGAAUAGUGGAAAUAACUAAGAUAUUACAGUACUGCAAUUAGGGGAAUUAUAUAUAGUAUUGAUGUUAUACUAAAAUUUAUAUUAAAAAUAAUUUAUUCUCGAAA